UUGUAUAUUUGAGGUGCGCGAUUCAUGCCAUAGCUACGGUAGUAGUGUUGCGAUCACUGAAAAGAGUGGAGAGACUCACUCUAGUAAACAAUGGAGAUGAUAUUAGGAUUAAUGUCUUUACAAAAGUAAAUUUAAGAAAUAUGAAAUUUACAGUGUAUGUUUGAAAAUAUGCACUGAUGAAAUGUAUAAAGAGUUAAUUGGCCUCUAUUCUAAACUUUGAAUAAAAUGAGUUCUUCAAAUUAGUACAUCACCGGUCCUUCACAGUUCUACUAAGUACUUCAUGGACUACUACCACAGCAAAUAUCAACCUAUUUCACUGUAUAGUUUUGGAGGAAUAUAUUAGUAAACUGUCUUACAGUCAGUUGAUUUGAUAUCAAUAGCUGAACUUUGAUCUUCAAUAAAAUGAGUUCUGCAAAUAGGUACAUCACCGUUCCUUUACAGUUCUAUUUAGUACUUCACGGUGUUAAGUGCCAAUAGGUGGCCCUGUUUCUUUUGUGCAUGUGUGUGUGUCCUGUCCUCUGUGUGCAGUUCGGGGGCGGCGUGACGUCAUCCAUUUACACCUGUGCCGCCGUGUCUAUAAAGGAAAACCCACCUGGAUGCAGGAAGAGGAGGACACACGGACAGAGAGAGAUGGAGAGAAACAGCUGACAGCAGAGAGAGCGCAGCGGUGGCGUGUGUCACGCCGGUGAAUUGUGUAGUGAGUGGGAGGAAAGUAAGCGAAUGGUCAGGAGCCCCUUCACACUGCACCACGUAGCUUUGCUCAGUGUUAAAGACACUGGGCGAAGCAGUGGUGUCCCCUUCUGUGUUUGUAGUGUUAGGUAGAAUUGUCCUUAAUGUUUUCUUAGCAUUGCCUACUGUAGGUUAGAUUUAGAGUUAGCUUUGUGCUUGUAUUAAGUCCUUUGAUUUGGCACCACCGGGCAGUCAUCCUUUCCUGUGAUAUCUGUGUGGGGAAAAGAAGGAGUGAAUACAACAUCUUGGUUGAACUUUCCAAGGUGUUUCAAAACGUCAGCGCUACUAAACAAGCCCAGAAAGGAAACGGGCUGGAAUCUAAUUUAAUUAACUCGAUCACAAAUAGUGAGUCAAUUAAGGAUGGUUGGUGCUCUGUCCAGGCUGUCAGUGAACUGUAGGAGCUUCACCAUGGACCUGCACAAAGCUGCUUUUCUCUUGGUAGCUGUGAUCAGCACUGUGGGUUCCACCGUCGUCCCAGAGGUGACUUGUGUUGUGGGUGAAGGCGAUACGUACAGAGGCAAGAUUUCCUGGACGUGGUCUGGAAAAACCUGCCAGCGUUGGUCUUCUCAGACGCCACAUCAGCACAGCCGGACCACCAGCAACUACCCCAACAAAGGCCUAGAAAGCAACUACUGCCGUAACCCUGACGGCACAGAGUUGCCCUGGUGCUACACCACCGACCCCGACACCCGCUGGCAGUACUGCAGCGUGCCGAGAUGCGUGAACUCCCCUGGACCAGAGGAGUGCAUGCUCUACAACGGUGAGAGCUACAGAGGGAAAAUCCACACCACCCAAAACGGCGUCACCUGCCAGCGCUGGGACUCCCAGACUCCUCACAAGCAUGACUACACCCCCAGCGCACACCCAGAGAAGCCUCUGGAAGAAAACUACUGCAGGAACCUGGGUGGAGAGCCCCGGCCUUGGUGCUUCACCACCAACCCAUCCAAGCGAUGGGACUACUGCGCUGUACCUCUCUGCUUAAAUCCCACCGUUGUGUCACACCUGACCUGUGCCAACGGUGACGGUGAAGCGUACAGAGGCUCGAUUUCCUGGACGUGGUCUGGAAAAACCUGCCAGAGUUGGUCAUCUCAGACGCCCCAUCAGCACAGCCGGACCACCAGCAACUACCCCAACAAAGGCCUAGAAAGCAACUACUGCCGUAACCCUGACGGCACAGAGUUGCCCUGGUGCUACACCACCGACCCCGACACCCGCUGGCAGUACUGCAGCGUGCCGAGAUGCGUGAACUCCCCUGGACCAGAGGAGUGUAUUCACUGCAAUGGUCUGGACUACAAAGGAAAGAUCCACACCACCCAAAACGGCUUUACCUGCCAACGCUGGGACUCCCAGACUCCCCAUGAGCACAGCUACAGCCCCAGCGCACAUCCAGAGAAGAAUCUGGAGGAAAACUACUGCAGGAACCCCAGUGGAGACCCCCAACCUUGGUGCUUCACCACGGACCCAUCCAAACGAUGGGACUUCUGUUCUGUUCCUCGCUGCACAUCUGAGCCUCCCACCAUCGUCCCAGAGCAGAUCUGUACCACUGGUAGAGGCCAAGCGUACAGAGGAACGAUUGCAGUGACAGAAUCUGGAAGAACGUGUCAGAGCUGGUCGUCUCAGACGCCGCACCAACACAACCGCACCCCAGAGAACUACCCCUGCAAUGACCUAGACAACAACUACUGUCGUAACCCUGACAACGAGAAGAGGCCCUGGUGCUACACCACCGACCCUGACUCUCGCUGGGAGUACUGCAACGUGCCGAGCUGUGAAAAUUAACCCGAACAAGAAACUGUUAUCAGAUAGUUAAUAAUGCACAGAUGUCCAGGACUAAAUAUGACAAGAGACUGUGACCCCUCAGGACAUUCCUGGGUUCAACCCUUGGACCUAAACUCACGUCUUUUUUGUGAUGUACUGCCUACGAACGCAGGCGACUCACUGGAAACAGUUUUCUUUAAAAGCUGCUUGACAUUGAAUAAACUACAAUACUUGUUUAAUGAGCAAAAAUAUGCCUAAUGUACAUUUGAAUGAAUUGCUUAUAGAACCAACAUACUGUAUAUUGAUGUCAUUUUGAAACACUAUGCAAAGAAAACCAUGAUGUUGUUAAUUUGUUCAGUGCAUUGUGAUAAUAAAUACAAUUUGUCUACUG